CCUACGGGAGGCAGCAGUAAGGGAUAUUGGUCAAUGGGGGAAACCCUGAACCAGCAACGCCGCGUGAGGGUAGACGGUUUUCGGAUUGUAAACCUCUGUCCUCUGUGAGGAUGAUGACGGUAGCAUAGGAGGAAGCUCCUGCGAACUACGUGCCAGCCGCCGCGGUAAUACGUAGGGGGCGAGCGUCGUCCGGAUUUACUGGGUGUAAAGGGUGCGUAGGCGGCUUGGCAAGUCAGUAGUGAAAGCCAUGGGCUUAACGCAUGAACUGCUAUUGAAACUGUCGAGCUUGAGUGAAGUAGGGGUAGGAGGAAUUCCCGGUGUAGCGGUGAAAUGCGUAGAGAUCGGGAGGAACACCAGUGGCGAAGGCGGCCUACUGAGCUUUAACUGACGCUGAGGCACGAAAGCGUGGGUAGCAAACAGGAUUAGAUACCCGAGUAGUC
rnacentral:rRNA from 1 species